rnacentral:lncRNA from 13 species
GUGGAACUUUCACACAAUGUCUUCAGAAACCCAAGAGAGAUUGCUCACUUUUUUUCUAUUAUGUAAGGACACAGUGAGAAGGCACCAUCUAUGAAGUAGAAAAUGGGCCUCACCAGACACAAAAUCCAUCAGUAACAUGAUCUUGGACUUCUUCGCUUCCAGAACUGAAUGCAAGAGAUGACAUUAAUAAAUGAAAGUGAGGCUACUCUUGCCACAUAAUCAGAAAGAAAUUUUGAGCAGCACUGACUUUCAAUGGGGAAGAUGAAAAAAAUAGACUUUUAUUACUAACUGAAUAGGUAAAAACCAUCAAGAAAUUUCAAAUUUUCCAGAGAAUAAUUUCAGCAGAGAAGACAGUUCUACAUAUAAGAACUGGAGGCCAAGAGCCUGAAAAAAAUAACAGAGCUGCAGCGGAAGCUCAUCUGACUAUCUACAGGAAAUAUCAUGUACCUCAGCAUGUGACUACAAUUGGAAAGACAGCUCUGAAGAGGUGAUUAUGUUAAAAUGAGGCCAUCAAGAUAGACGCUAAUUGAAUCUAAUUAGUGUCCCUAUAAGACGAGAUGAUUUGGACACAUAAAGAGACACCAGGGUUGUACACACGAAAAGGAACAUUCAUGUGAGCAUACAGCAAGAAAGCAGCUAUGUGCAAGCCAAGGAGAAAGGCUUCAGGAGAAACUAAAGUUGCCCACACUUUGAUCCUGGAAUUCUAGCCUCCACACUAUGAGAAAGUAAAUAUCUAGUGUUUAAGCCACCCAGGCUUUGUCAUUUUGUUAUUCCAACCCCAGCAAACUAAUACAGCCUGGCUAUAGAUUUAGCCAUUUUAUUGCUUUAUUUCCUUGAUUUUUCUCUGUUAAUUUUCUGUUUUCAAUUUCAUUGAUAUGUGCCACAAUUUUUAUUUCUUUUUUCUGCUUACUUCAAAUUCAAUUGACUCUUCUUUUUCUAGAUUUGUAAGGUAGAAGCUUAUGUUAUUGAUUUUAGAUCAUGG